UACAGAGGUCCCAAGCGUUGUUCGGAUUUAUUGGGCGUAAAGGGUGCGUAGGCGGUUGCCUAAGUCAGAUGUGAAAUCCCGGGGCUCAACCUCGGAACUGCAUUUGAUACUGGGUGACUUGAGUACUGGAGGGGAGACUGGAAUUUACGGUGUAGCAGUGAAAUGCGUAGAUAUCGUAAGGAAGACCAGUGGCGAAGGCGAGUCUCUGGACAGUUACUGACGCUGAGGCACGAAGGCUAGGGGAGCAAACGGG
rnacentral:rRNA from 1 species